UUUUAAUAAAACCCGUAAAAACAUAGCAGUACUAACUUAACCAAAUAGACAAUUGAGUAAUUUGACACUUACAUUCAUUGACAAUCUCACAUAUUCCUCAAGCAAAUCCGUUUCAAAACAUUAGAAGUUGAUUCAACUUGGUAAAUUAGUGUUUUGAAUAAUUACUUUUUCAUAUGUGUGCAAAUCUGUUGGGUUACUAAUAAUAAAUAGAAUGU